GUCGGGUCUUAAUNGACUUGGUAACGCAGCUAACGCGUGAAGUAGACCGCNUGGGGAGUACGGUCGCAAGAUUAAAACUCAAAGGAAUUGACGGGGACCCGCACAAGCGGUGGAUGAUGUGGAUUAAUUCGAUGCAACGCGAAAAACCUUACCUACCCUUGACAUGGAAGGAACCUNCCGAGAGAUUGGAGGGUGCUCGAAAGAGAACCUUUACACAGGUGCUGCAUGGCUGUCGUCAGCUCGUGUCGUGAGAUGUUGGGUUAAGUCCCGCAACGAGCGCAACCCUUGUCAUUAGUUGCUACGAAAGGGCACUCUAAUGAGACUGCCGGUGACAAACCGGAGGAAGGUGGGGAUGACGUCAAGUCCUCAUGGCCCUUAUGGGUAGGGCUUCACACGUCAUACAAUGGUACAUANCAGAGGGCCGCCAACCCGCGAGGGGGAGCUAAUCCCAGAAAGUGUAUCGUAGUCCGGAUUGUAGUCUGCAACUCGACUGCAUGAAGUUGGAAUCGCUAGUAAUCGCGGAUCAGCAUGUCGCGGUGAAUACGUUCCCGGGUCUUGUACACACCGCCCGUCACACCAUGGGAGCGGGUUUUACCAGAAGUAGGUAGCUUAACCGNCAAGGAGGGCGCUUACCACGGUAGGAUUCGUGACUGGGGUGAAGUCGUAANCAAGGUACC
rnacentral:rRNA from 1 species